ensembl:lncRNA novel transcript
GAUUAUUUGGUUUUUAUGUUGACAGUGUUUGAGAGGUCUUUUAGCAAGUAGUUGGUAUCAGCUAGACUUUGGGUGCCUUGGCAGCAUUUUCUAGCAUUUUCCUGUUCUGAAGACAGCAGCACCUGUAUCUGUUCUGGAACAUCUGGUGGCCAUUUGCACAGCUACUGCUGGACUUCCAUCUUUAUCUCUCCAGGCAGACGAGUCGAACCUUCCAAUAGGAAAUUUUGGGUAAAUGACAAAAACUUAUGAGGGUUGUCCUUUGUGAGCAGACUUUGAAGCAGUAGGAAUGUAGCCUAUUGAAAAGAUGGCCAGAGGUUCAGAAAUAAGCGUGACGGAUAAAAAUCAGCAAGACAUUUAAUACAUCUGCAAACUUGCCUUCUUUCAAAGAACAUUGAUUGAAACAGAUUCGUUUGUUCAUAAUGUGGGUGUGAAAAUAGUUCUGAAAAGCCAUUCUAAACAAACUUAUGUUUUUAAAAAGAGUAGAUGAAAUCUGUUUGCGGAGGAAGGAAAAGAUGACAUUCAGGAAGCAAUGUUCUGGUUAAUUCUGUGUUCUUCAAAAGCCAGCUCAUUUUCUUGAAAAGAAUGCUGGCCACAAUCCACAGGUAUAGAGAAUAUGGAGAGAAAGCAUCUCACGCCUGAAGAGUCCAAUAAAACAUUUAUAGAUAAGAAUUUAAGA